CGCGGCCUAUCAGCUUGUUGGUGGGGUAGUGGCCUACCAAGGCGACGACGGGUAGCCGGCCUGAGAGGGUGACCGGCCACACUGGGACUGAGACACGGCCCAGACUCCUACGGGAGGCAGCAGUGGGGAAUAUUGCGCAAUGGGCGGAAGCCUGACGCAGCGACGCCGCGUGGGGGAUGACGGCCUUCGGGUUGUAAACCUCUUUCAGCAGGGACGAAGCGAAAGUGACGGUACCUGCAGAAGAAGCACCGGCCAACUACGUGCCAGCAGCCGCGGUAAUACGUAGGGUGCAAGCGUUGUCCGGAAUUAUUGGGCGUAAAGAGCUCGUAGGCGGUUUGUUGCGUCGGCUGUGGAAUCCCGAGGCUCAACCUCGGGUCUGCAGUCGAUACGAGCAAACUAGAGUGUUGCAGGGGAGACUGGAAUUCCUGGUGUAGCGGUGAAAUGCGCAGAUAUCAGGAGGAACACCGGUGGCGAAGGCGGGUCUCUGGGCAACAACUGACGCUGAGGAGCGAAAGCGUGGGGAGCGAACAGGAUUAGAUACCCUGGUAGUCCACGCCGUAAACGUUGGGCGCUAGGUGUGGGGCUCAUUCCACGAGUUCCGUGCCGCAGCUAACGCAUUAAGCGCCCCGCCUGGGGAGUACGG
rnacentral:rRNA from 1 species